AUUGAACGCUGGCGGCAUGCCUUACACAUGCAAGUCGAACGGCAGCACGGGUGCUUGCACCUGGUGGCGAGUGGCGAACGGGUGAGUAAUACAUCGGAACGUACCUUAUCGUGGGGGAUAACGCAGCGAAAGUUGCGCUAAUACCGCAUACGCCCUGAGGGGGAAAGCGGGGGACCGUAAGGCCUCGCGCGAUUAGAGCGGCCGAUGUCUGAUUAGCUUGUUGGUGAGGAAAAAGCUCACCAAGGCGAUGAUCAGUAGCUGGUCUGAGAGGACGAUCAGCCACACUGGGACUGAGACACGGCCCAGACUCAUACGGGAGGCAGCAGUGGGGAAUUUUGGACAAUGGGGGCAACCCUGAUCCAGCAAUGCCGCGUGAGUGAAGAAGGCCUUCGGGUUGUAAAGCUCUUUUGUCAGGGAAGAAACAGCAGCUCUAACACAGUCUGCGAAUGACGGUACCUGAAGAAUAAGCACCGGCUAACUACGUGCCAGCAGCCGCCGUAA
rnacentral:rRNA from 1 species